UUGAAGGAUGGACUGUUUGAUGGAUUAGAAAUUGGUUGUCUGGACACAGCGGAAGAGUUGUGAUCAAUGGUUCUGUGUCAGGGUGGAGGCUGGUCAUAAGUGGGUCGGUCUUGGGACUGAUGCUCUUCAACAUCUUCAUCAAUGACAUAGACAAGGGCAUUGAGUGCACCUGCAGCAAGUUUGCAGAUAACACCAAGCUGAGUGGUGCAGUAGAUACACUGGAAGGAAGGGAAGCCAUCCAGAGGGACCUGGACAGGUUGGAGAAAAAGCUUCCACCUCAGCUGUGCUGUCAAAAUGGGGGAGAAAUACAUGUGAAGCUGGUGGUAGAAAAUCUUUUUGUGAAUUUCUUCAGAAGUGAGUAUGCUUUUCAAGGUAAAUCACAUGUCCUUCUUGCAUGUUGUAAAUUAAUUAUCUUUUUAAAAUCACUUGAUAUUUCAGAAUGCAAUCCAUUAGCUACCUGUUUUCUAAGUUGGUUUAUAAAGGUUAUAUACACCUCCUACCAGGAAAUUUUUUCUCUUCUAAUUUUCACUUAUUUGAUUUUAAUGACAGAAUUUUACUGUGUAUUAUGUUGUCUAGUUAGCAUACCUAAAAGCAUUUCCAAUCUUGACUUUUAACUUUUUAAAAGCUUUUUGUUGUUGGCAGAUCAGAGCCUAAGAAAGGCCUUACUUACUUGCAACAAAAUUUGGCAGACAUUUAGUAAAGAAAAUGUUCAGAAUGUUUUCUAGGGCAAGGCACACACCUUAGCCUCAAAGAACAUGAAAAAAAUUGUUAUUUCUUUCUAUAGGGCUGGAUAGAAGAAGAGAUAUGGAAACAGAAUUUACAUAAGCAGAGAAAAAUUGACCUAUUUCUAUGUCUUUAAAUAUGUCUCCAUUUGACAAAAAAAUUAGUAAAAACUUUCAAUUUUACUGUAGCUCUGCAGAACAGAUAUUUGCUUACUUCAUUACCUAACUGAUGCAUGCAGGCAAACUGCAACCAGAGCAUCACUGGAAACUUUUCUUAUGGUGAAUGUACAAUUUUCAGCUAUGUGUAAGUACUGUAAAAAUCAUAUAUUUUCUCCAGGCUUCUAGAUGAGCCUUUAUAUGAAGCCAUACUCAUCUUUCACCUUUAUAUACUUUUAAGGAGCUCCAAAACUGGCAUGACCAUUAACUGUAUCUUAGAGGGUUUUUGCUUUGGCAGCAGAGGACAAGCUCUUACAGCACGCAAGCGAAAGCUUAACUUGAAGCACAUAAAGCAAGCUAGAACCAUGCUGGUAAUUUAUAUUUACUUUAGGAUGGUUGAUAGGAAAUUUUAGUAAAAAGUGGAUUUCCCAAUUUUUAUAUGCAGUAAAAAACUAUUUGGGCCCCUGCUAAUGAGAAGGUAGACCAACUUUAUCUACUCUUGGGUAUCUAGAAGAAUGAAACAGUUAGGUGUUAGCUCAGAUAAGGACAACAAAGAUUUACUAACUUAUUGGUGAGAUUUUCCUUCAAACUAACAUUUGAUGAAAUAAAGAUGAAAAUCAUCUGAAAAACAUUUUGUUUUUAAAAAAUUGAAUUUGAUGUAAUGAGGGACAUUUCAAUGAAACAAAAAUUAGUAGCAUCACUGCAAUCAAGAGGUGAAAAAUAUUAUAUUACUUGUGUCCUGAUAUGAUGCUAUUUCUAAUGGAAAAAAAAAAAAUCUUAAUAUCUACAUUGUUUAAAGACAUUGCAUUUGCCAUGCAAUGUGAGUUCGUACUAGAAGCUAAGAGAAACCUGAUCUUUUAUGCUCAUUAGAAAAUGUUAUCGAAAAAUCAUCAGCACCUUAUAGACUAUCUGAUGUAAUUCUUUAUUACUGCUCAUGAGCAGGCAAGGAUUUAAGCUGUAUAUUAUGUUUCUUAAUGGCAUAAUUAAAUUUCCCUUCUGUUCUGCAAAUGUCUUUUUCUUGUUUUCUGAGGUGGUUUAUACCUAAAGGCAAUAACUAAGUUUACUGCAGACAAACUGUAGAUAAUAUGUGAAGCUUAAGAUACUAUUUACCUUUUUGCUAAAAGCUGCAUAGUUGCUGCUUGAAAAAUAUGCCACAUGCACAAAUCACUCUGAAAAUAAAUGUUAAGGUGCUAUGACAUAAAAUGUAUUUAUGCUUGUUGCUUUUCCUUUUCAGUCUUUUAUGAUUCACAGCAUGUUGUACAGAGAUCUACUGGCUAUAUUUCAUUCUUCAUAAGUAAUGCGUCACAGUCAUUAUUACACCAUAUGGGGAAAGCACUGGGGGCUUUUUUGAUAUUUUGUAUAGUUUCAUUAGAGUAGGUUAUAUUUUACAUUCUAAUCUUAAAUGUGUUUUCUUACAUUCUUUCCUUUCUGCUUACUAGUGCAAUUAAGACAGUCUGAUAAGCUGAGUGAGCAUUUUCAGCAUAUUCUCUCAUGUGUAAGAGCUCUUUUAAUGUUAAAGAAUUUGGAUGACCUUAUGACUUUAAUUUCCAG
ensembl:lncRNA